rnacentral:rRNA from 1 species
GUGGGGAAUAUUGGGCAAUGGGGGAAACCCUGACCCAGCAACGCCGCGUGAAGGAAGAAGGCUUUCGGGUUGUAAACUUCUUUGACGAGGGACGAAACAAAUGACGGUACCUCGAAAACAAGCCACGGCUAACUACGUGCCAGCAGCCGCGGUAAUACGUAGGUGGCAAGCGUUGUCCGGAUUUACUGGGUGUAAAGGGCGUGUAGGCGGGUCUGCAAGUCAGAUGUGAAAUGCCAGGGCUUAACCCUGGAGCUGCAUUUGAAACUGCAGGUCUUGAGUGAUGGAGAGGCAGGCGGAAUUCCGUGUGUAGCGGUGAAAUGCGUAGAGAUACGGAGGAACACCAGUGGCGAAGGCGGCCUGCUGGACAUUAACUGACGCUGAGGCGCGAAAGCGUGGGGAGCAAACAGGAUUAGAAACCCCUGUAGUCC